GAUGAACGCUGGCGGCGUGCCUAAUACAUGCAAGUCGAGCGAACAGAUGAGGAGCUUGCUCCUCUGACGUUAGCGGCGGACGGGUGAGUAACACGUGGAUAACCUACCUAUAAGACUGGGAUAACUUCGGGAAACCGGAGCUAAUACCGGAUAAUAUAUUGAACCGCAUGGUUCACUAGUGAAAGACGGUUUUGCUGUCACUUAUAGAUGGAUCCGCGCCGCAUUAGCUAGUUGGUAAGGUAACGGCUUACCAAGGCAACGAUGCGUAGCCGACCUGAGAGGGUGAUCAGCCACACUGGAACUGAGACACGGUCCAGACUCCUACGGGAGGCAGCAGUAGGGAAUCUUACGCAAUGGGCGAAAGCCUGACGGAGCAACGCCGCGUGAGUGAUGAAGGUCUUCGGAUCGUAAAACUCUGUUAUUAGGGAAGAACAAAUGUGUAAGUAACUAUGCACGUCUUGACGGUACCUAAUCAGAAAGCCACGGCUAACUACGUG
rnacentral:rRNA from 1 species